rfam:Oryza glaberrima chromosome 12 Oglab12_0133_2, whole genome shotgun sequence.
AUUAAGCGCAAUGGUGGGUUUCAGUGUCCAACGUUUGACUGUCCGUCUUGUGUGAAAUUUUUUUAUGAUUAGUAUUUUUGUUGUUAUUAGAUGAUAAAACAUGAAUAGUACUUUAUACGUGACUUAAUUUUAAAAAAAUUAUAAAUUUUUUCAAAUAAGGCGGAUGGUCAAAUGUUAGAUAUUGAAAUUUAUGGCUGCACUUAAA